UUCCGGUUGAUCCUGCCGGACCUGACUGCUAUCGGAUUGAUACUAAGCCAUGCAAGUCUUUGUAGUAAUACAAGGCAUACGGCUCAGUAACGCGUAGUCAACCUACCCUAUGGAUGGGGAUAAUCUCGGGAAACUGAGCAUAAUACCCAACAGAUCAUCAAUUCUGGAAUGGUUGAUGAUUCAAAUGAUUUUUCGCCAUAGGAUGGGACUGCGGCCUAUCAGCUUGUUGGUGAGGUAAUGGCCCACCAAGGCAAUUACAGGUACGGGCUCUGAGAGGAGAAGCCCGGAGAUGGGUACUGAGACAAGGACCCAGGCCCUAUGGGGCGCAGCAGGCGAGAAAACUUUGCAAUGUGCGAAAGCACGACAAGGUUAAUCCGAGUGAUUUCUGCUAAAGGAAUCUUUUACCAGUUCUAAAAAUACUGGCGAAUAAGGGGUGGGCAAGUUCUGGUGUCAGCCGCCGCGGUAAAACCAGCACCUCAAGUGGUCAGGAGGAUUAUUGGGCCUAAA
rnacentral:rRNA from 1 species